rnacentral:rRNA from 1 species
UGCUACCUACGGGGCGCAGCAGUGAGGAAUAUUGGUCAAUGGGAGAGAUCCUGAACCAGCCAAGCCGCGUGGGGGAAGACGGCCCUAUGGGUUGUAAACCUCUUUUGUCGGAGAACAAAACCCGGGACGUGUCCCGGACUGCGUGUAUCCGAAGAAAAAGCAUCGGCUACCUCCGUGCCAGCAGCCGCGGUAAUACGGAGGAUGCGAGCGUUAUCCGGAUUUAUUGGUUUUAAAGGGUGCGUAGGCGGUCCGGUAAGUCAGCGGUAAAAUUGCGGGGCUCAACCCCGUCGAGCCGUUGAAACUGG